CCUGGCUCCGUAUGACGCUAGCUACAGGCUUAACACAUGCAAGUCGAGGGGCAGCAUUUCAGUUUGCUUGCAAACUGGAGAUGGCGACCGGCGCACGGGUGAGUAACACGUAUCCAACCUGCCGAUAACUCGGGGAUAGCCUUUCGAAAGAAAGAUUAAUACCCGAUGGCAUAAUUAGACCGCAUGGUCUUGUUAUUAAAGAAUUUCGGUUAUCGAUGGGGAUGCGUUCCAUUAGGCAGUUGGUGAGGUAACGGCUCACCAAACCUUCGAUGGAUAGGGGUUCUGAGAGGAAGGUCCCCCACAUUGGAACUGAGACACGGUCCAAACUCCUACGGGAGGCAGCAGUGAGGAAUAUUGGUCAAUGGGCGCAGGCCUGAACCAGCCAAGUAGCGUGAAGGAUGACUGCCCUAUGGGUUGUAAACUUCUUUUAUAUGGGAAUAAAGUUUUCCACGUGUGGAAUUUUGUAUGUACCAUAUGAAUAAGGAUCGGCUAACUCCGUGCCAGCAGCCGCGGUAAUACGGAGGAUCCGAGCGUUAUCCGGAUUUAUUGGGUUUAAAGGGAGCGUAGGUGGACAGUUAAGUCAGUUGUGAAAGUUUGCGGCUCAACCGUAAAAUUGCAGUUGAUACUGGCUGUCUUGAGUACAGUAGAGGUGGGCGGAAUUCGUGGUGUAGCGGUGAAAUGCUUAGAUAUCACGAAGAACUCCGAUUGCGAAGGCAGCUCACUGGACUGCAACUGACACUGAUGCUCGAAAGUGUGGGUAUCAAACAGGAUUAGAUACCCUGGUAGUCCACACAGUAAACGAUGAAUACUCGCUGUUUGCGAUAUACAGUAAGCGGCCAAGCGAAAGCAUUAAGUAUUCCACCUGGGGAGUACGCCGGCAACGGUGAAACUCAAAGGAAUUGACGGGGGCCCGCACAAGCGGAGGAACAUGUGGUUUAAUUCGAUGAUACGCGAGGAACCUUACCCGGGCUUAAAUUGCAUUUGAAUAUAUUGGAAACAGUAUAGCCGUAAGGCAAAUGUGAAGGUGCUGCAUGGUUGUCGUCAGCUCGUGCCGUGAGGUGUCGGCUUAAGUGCCAUAACGAGCGCAACCCUUAUCUUUAGUUACUAACAGGUCAUGCUGAGGACUCUAGAGAGACUGCCGUCGUAAGAUGUGAGGAAGGUGGGGAUGACGUCAAAUCAGCACGGCCCUUACGUCCGGGGCUACACACGUGUUACAAUGGGGGGUACAGAAGGCAGCUACCUGGUGACAGGAUGCUAAUCCCAAAAGCCUCUCUCAGUUCGGAUCGAAGUCUGCAACCCGACUUCGUGAAGCUGGAUUCGCUAGUAAUCGCGCAUCAGCCAUGGCGCGGUGAAUACGUUCCCGGGCCUUGUACACACCGCCCG
rnacentral:rRNA from 1 species